AGGUAGAUUUUCUCCAGUUCUCUCGAAGUAAGAAGAUUCUGCAAUGAAAAGACAUGGAGUGGAGGACAGGACGUGAAACACAUAUAUGGCCUUUUCCGAUAUAUUCUGUCUGGCUACUGCCUACCUCUACACUCUUCUUUCUAGGGACUUCCCUCCCAUUACAGAAACACAGGGCUUCGAGUCUCCAGGUGUUGGUGAGUGCUCUUCUCUCUGAACAUGAUGCCCCUAUGUCAGGACCUGUCCGCACAGAGGUGCAACGGGCUUUUCUCCUGACUGUGAAAGAAGCAGACUUUGCCUCCAUUUGCACAUUCAUUUCAAUAUUCCUCAUCUAGACGUGUGCCAGCUCUUUGGAUUCUUCCGGUUUUAACAUCUGCCCAGUUCCCUCACUGACUCAUGAGCUACAUGAAAUUUGGAGCACAUGGCUAUUUUCUAUCUGUAUGGGAGUCAUAAUAUUAUCCUUAUUUGAAAAUGAUCAUUAGCGAAAGUGAGUUUUGACCAGAGCCCAUGCUCUUUGCUCUCAUCCUGUUCAUCAACCAACCAUCACUGAACACCUACUUAGUUCCAGGCCCCCGUGUUGGGUGCUGGGGGCCAACGAUGAGUAAAACAUGGUUCCUACCAUCCAGCGACUCCAGGUCACAAUACUGAGACAGGCAGAACACACAUAGAAGCUGUGGGAGCAAAGUGAGGAGUCCCUAGCCCCCACUUGGAACAUGGAGAAAGUUUCCUGAGAAUCCAGUAAUAAUUAAGAUAAUAAGAUAAUCGCAUUACAACAGAUACUAAACUUCAAUCCAAAAACAUUGGACAAAAUAUAAUUUUAUGGUGACUGGUACUUAAGUGAAGUGAGGUAAACCUUGGCAACAUCUGGUUUCUUAUGAGAUAUGUUAGUAAUGACACUUGGCCUAUGCUACAUUUUAAAUAACAACGUACCAUUUUCCAAAGAAUAUAGAUCAAUGCUCCCAAAUCCCGUGUACAUAACUGAUUAGUUGGCAUUGUUCAAACAAUAAUCAUCAAACAGCCAUCCCUAUGGGGAAAAAAAAAAAGUACAUAGCUACACAACAACAGGACCAGGCCAAAGGAAAUGCAAGUAUGUGUGGAUUUGAAAUUAAAACUAAGACACACAUAUAUCUAACUGAGCUCAGGACUGGUUAUCCCCAUGCAAGCUCAUCUCUUCACCAGGUCAACUGAUUUUAUUCAUCUUUGUAUUCCAAGUGCCAUGCCCAAUUCAUUUAUUCACUUAUUCAUCCAUUAUCUGCUGACCCCUCAUUCAUUCUAAAAUCUGAAUGCCCAUUUGGGUCGAUAGAUGCUUGAGGGGGUAUGUAAUGAAAGAAGACUCAAUUCUUGUCUUCAAAAGUCUCACAGCCUUGUGGAUAGGGAUGGGGGGCAAGGUCUACAUGUAAAUACCCAUAAGGCAAAGUAGUUGUGUUCUACUCUAGGUUAUAUUUAGAGGGAGGGAAGAGCAGAGUAGAUAGUGAUAACUUGGGUGUGAGUAGGCAGAGAAGUUUCUACCAAAGUGAAGAUGCAAGGUGAGGCUGGGCCAGACAAAUCUGACAUGGAAGCUCAUUCCCAUUUUCAAAAGCAUGUGUUUCAAGAACAUCGUUAAAGUAUAAUGUUUGCAAAGCUAAAAGCGUGCCUUUCCUACACAUGUAAAACAGUGUCGAAGAUUUCAUUCAUCUCCUUAAUUAACAAGAUGUUAAAACUAGUUCAAAUGAGAAAUUAAUGUAAGAGUAAGAUUCAAGAUUGGAUACAAACCUGGUUAAUGUCUCACAGGCCAAAAAACAGUGAUCUUCCGGUUAUUUAGAGAGGAUCCUGACCAUGCUGCACUUACCUGUAGGUUCAGCGAGCUGGGCUAAACACCCUACUCAACAUCCACCUGUCUUGGGGUUGUGUGAACCCCUCCAGUCGAGCUCGCAAUGAUCCUGGCGGGGAAACUGAUUGGAUGACAAAAGGUCUCAACCAUCCUUGUUCUUUGUGUCCCUUUUUCCUAGGUUUUACUUGAAGGAUAUAAUGAAAGUUUAUAGGAAAGAAGUAUUUAGGCAUUUGGUAUUUAGUAAAGGGAAACACAUCAUAUUUUAAGGUCCAUGGUGUCAUAAAAAUUAACUAUAAUUUGGAAAUAGGUGUUAGAUCAUACUGGGUGUUCUCCCAGUGCAGUUCUGGGCUUUGAGCCUUGAUUGGCUUUCUAGUGACUGGGCUGUUACUAUAAAUUCUGUAAGGGCUGAAGUUAACUUGCAGUUUUCCUUUCCUUUCCUUUCCUUUCCUUUCCUUGUUUCCUUUCCUUUGUUUAUUUUUCUUUUCCUUUCUUUAUUUACUUUUUAUUUUAUUUUGUUUUUGGUAGAGAUGCAAGAUUUCUGACUGUAUUGAGCUCACAUGGUUCGCACUACAAUGACCUCAAUGGUAUUUCAAUGGCAGCGAGUUUACCCAGUUUGGGGCUUUUCCAUGUCAAAAGUAGUGGUGGGAACAGCACAAUGAGUUGGUUUGCCAAAUCUCACUCUCCCUCCCCAGAGCUUUGAGAAGAUUCAACCAGCACAGAAUAAGAGAGGGGCUGGUGUUUUUAAGAAAUAACUUGUUAUGACUGACAAGUUAUUUGGGGCAUGGGGGCAAUGGGGCAAAGUGGUAUGAACAAGUUGUGACUUGUGUUCAUGAGCGUGCAGAUUCUGAAUCCUGGACCUGAAUGAAAGGCAAGGGAUUACCCCCAGGCGGGGGUGGGGAGGUGUUAACCAGAGUGAGACGUAGUCCAUUGUGCAUGUUAGCAGGACUGCUCUGAAAUAUUGGGGGCAUGACACUCACCUGGGGGGGAUGGCGAUUAUUCUCAGGUGGAUGAUAAGGGCUUGAGUAUUUUAGAGAAAUAUUGAAAUGGCAGAAUUCACAGAGUUGGUAACAAUUCAUUUGCAGAGGGAAAGAAAAGCUGAGAAUCUCUCGUAGUUUUUAAAUGGGAUUAUCUGAGAGGAAAGUGGUGUCCUUUAAAAAAAUAGAAAUUAAAAGCAGGUUUAGGAAAAUGGGUUGAAGAUGACAAUUUUGGUCCCAGACAUAGGCACUGGUAAAGGUUGAGACAUGUCAGUGAACUGGAGAGAAUCAGAGGGCCUAUUGGCUCUUUGUUUUCCACGAAGGGCCUGCCUUGGAAUAACAUAGCCCUUGUAAGUCUUUAUAGAAGCAACACAAUCUGAGGCUCGCGUGGCAAUUCUGGCAGAACGUGAAGCUUCCACGGUCCUUUGGCCAAUUAUUUAUGAGGAUUUGAGUACCUGCCGUGUGUCAGGAAUGUGCUAGGGACUACUCAAACAUUGUCUCUGUCCUUUGAAAGUUCAGAGUAUCUGAGAAGUUAGCAAGAGCAGGUAAGAGUGGGGGGCCAGGAGGGGGCAGGAGCGUCACAGAGAGGAGCCCACCCUUCUCCUGGCUGUGGGCAUUCACUCUCUCCAGGGGCACAAGGUCAGCUGGCCACAGGGUUUAUGUGCCGCCUUCCUCUGAUACAAGAAGUCACUUGCAGGAGGAAGGGGAGAAAGUAACUAAAAAUAAAGUGGUUUCUGAUUUGAGUGCGUUGUGACAGUCUUUAGGUCAUUUUAAGGAACAAGUGCCUGUGUUCAUGCAGGAAGAACUUGGAAAUCAGCAGCCAUAGAUGAUUUGAGUCACAAAAUGUUCAAGGCCUGAACCAGGCUUCUAGACAUCCUUCAGACAUUGCUUCUCCCUAAGGGGAAGAGAGAACCUAAUUUCCAUUCUCUCUUCUCUCCCCUAGUCUCCCUCUCUCUUCUCUCUCACCCACCCUGGCGCCCUGCCUCUCUCCCUCCCUCCCACCUUCCCACCACCUCCUUCUUUCUGGAACAUGGGUGCUAAGAAAUAAACUGAUUUAAUCCCCUUACUCCCCAGUCCAUAUAGCAUAAUAUCACCAAAAGUUCAGGUUUAGGGACAAGGUCUGAAGCCUUUUAAAGGCUGCAUUAUCUUUUCCAGCAGCCCUUAUUGGAGGGAGGUGAGGCUUUCCAACUACCCAUCUCAGUCUCCCAAAGACUACCCUGUCCGUGAAGCCUCAGCCCAAUUAGAAAUGACCCUCUGUCCUUGAAGCUCGCAUCACGCUUGACCUGCAUCUCUCUUUCUUUUCUGUUUCUCAUAAGAACAACCUGCAUAGAUAGUGAGUUUCACUGGGGCAUCCCUAGUGCCUGGCAUAAUACCAGGAACACAGCAGGUGCUCAUAGUCUUUGAUGGAUGAGGGAAUUUACCACUGACUCCUCAACACCUAUCACAGUGCUGACCACCUACGAGGCUCUCCGUGGUUACUGAAUGAAUGCAUAAACAUAAACUCGGCUUUUCUCUCUAACAGAUAUUAGAGACUGGGUGAGUGGUUACUGUAUGGUUACUCCUUCCCCACUCCACUCCCAUCCCUGAGCCCAGGUUAGCACUUUGUUAGUACUGGGCACAGACUGAAAAACACUAUUUUGAUGAGGAACUCUCUGUACUUGGCAACUUUCAUAUAAUUCUAAAAUUAUUCCACGAUAUGAAUUAAUUAGAAAACUUAAUUUGUUCUUCCUUUGGAAAUUUUCUUCUACCGGUUAACCACCAGAAUACUUGGGAAGUUCUGUUUUAUAGCUCUUUUCAUUGAGAACCCUGCUUUUUAUUUAACAAUUUACAUGUAUUUAUGUGAAAAACCAUUUAUAUAACAUUCAUCCUGUGCCAAGAACCAUUCUGGGUUCUUUAUAAAUAUAACUCACUGAAUCCUCGUAAGAGUCCUGUGGUAGUGAUAUUCUCUUCUUACAAAUGAAAAAUUGAGGCAUGGAGGAGUUACAUAAUAGGCAUCAGGAGGCACCAGGCAGCAUAACGGCUGGUCAUCUUAGGAUGUUGUUCUUUUCCUGGGACUUCUUUUCUCGUGUGCUGAGACACAGUCUCUGUCCAUUCAGCCUGAAUAACGCAGUGUAUGAGCUUCUGUCACGGCAGAGCUCCUGAACAAAGGCAGUAUCACACAGCUCAGAAAGAAAGGCCACCACGUUUGAUUGUCCCUGCACACUUCAUGGAAGAAAGAAUGAUCUCUCUCUCCAUCAGUCUGCACGCGAAGCCAACUUCAUGUCCAUUCUCAGCUACUGAGUCCCGGCCAAAGGCUAGCCUGGCUGACCUCGUAUAUUGUGUGUUUUUCUAACUCUCUGAGUCAGCUCAUCCAUUCCCAAAUGUUUUAACUGUUCCUUUUAUGCUGACCACUCUCCCCAAAUUCUGUCUGCAAACAUGUCCUCUGAGAUCUGGUCCUGUGUGUCCCCUGCCCUGUUGUGCAGCUGAGAUCGCCAUCCCUUGGGUCACCCAAGCUGCCUUUGUGACCUCAUCUUCCACCUCCUGUGCUGAUCUGCUCCCCUACCACAACCUCCCACCUGCAGGUUCAGAUGCUUCUAACUCUUUUCAAUCCAUGGCCCGGGCUCUUCCUUUCUCUCUUCCUGAAAUAAACUCUAAUCCCUGGUCCAUCUGGUAGAUUCCUAUCUAUAUUUCAUAACUCAUCCCAAAUGUCUUCUUCUCUUAGAAACUUCCCUUGAUGUUUCUAGGUUGCAGAGGAGUUGCUUCUGGGGCUCUACUGACUGUCAAUGGUAUGAAUUCCCCAUGCCACCAGUUCCCAAGUCUGGCCUAAAAUGAUUCUGUACAAUUUUUCUCAGGAUUUUCAUUUUUUGUUUAAUUGACAAACAUAAGCUGAACUACACAGACCUUAGAUGAGUUUUAACAAACACCAACACUCACAAAAUAAACACAUCAAUUAAGAAUGAGAACAUUAUCAGCAGCCUGGACUACUCCCUCAUCUCUACCAGCCAAUUCCCAUCUCUAGCCCCAUAGACAACCAUCGUCCCAUACCUUUUGGCAAAGAUUCAACCUGUGAUUUUCAAUUUCAUAUAAGCAGAAUCUUACAGUAUCUCUUUCUUUUUGUCUGGCUUCUUUCAUUCGACAUGUUUUUGAGAUUAAUCCUUGUUGUUUCAUAUAUCAGUAGUUUAGUUUUUAUUACUGAGUAAUAUUCCAUUGUAUGAAGAUACCAUAGUUUGUCCAUUCUCCUGUUGAUGGACAUUUGGGUUGUUCCCAGUUCUGUGCCAUUAUAAAUAAAGCCACUGAAAACAUUCUUCUACAAGUCUUUUGUGAACGUAUGUUUUUACUUCUCUUAGAUAAAUAGCCUUUCAAAGUGUCUGAU